UCUAGCCCGCCCCAUGCUCUCCUCAUGGCUUUUUUGUCUCUUCCAAGCAUGCACGCCCACAGCACCCCCUCUUGCGCAUGAGGGAGUGAGGGCACUGUUAGCCAAACCCAUAAUUCAAAGGCUUGAGCUGUUGCAGUGAGAGACCAAUAUGUCUUCUUCAACAGCUGAUGCGACUCAAAAUCCUAGGGUUAGGGUUUCCAUCCCUCCAAGGGAGAAAUCGUCAGAGAUCAAAGGCAAAUCACCGGAGCGUAAGGAGAAAUCAAUACAAGGUCCUUGGGAAGACUUGAGAUCACGUUUUGAAGGGAAAAGGCUGCCUCACUUCUACGAUCUUCUUCCUCACUAUCGAGUGGUCGAUUAAGGGCGAUGAUGCAGCCAUGGACCCACCUAGUACAGGUAACAAAGACCAAAGUCAUGCUGCUGGAGAGCAAGUUCCAGAAGAUUGUCCUCAUCAGUGAAGAAGAAAUUCAAGGAUUGGUGGAUCGCUAGAAGUUUGCUUUGGUAGAGUCAUAGGAUGCAUGGCAUUUAUCGGAUUGGCCGUGAAGUUCGAGUGCCGGAUUUAUUAGUUCACUAGUUCAUUCAAUUUCUGAUACCAUAGAACACUGAAAUAAUUAUACUUGAACAAGUCGACUAUUGUCCUGAUGAAACUAUCAAUUUGAUAUGUUUGGUUUUUAUUUAUUAAUUCUAAAAAUAUUUAAAUUUUGUUCAUCUUAA